UCCUACGGGAGGCAGCAGUCGGGAAUUUUGGGCAAUGGGCGAAAGCCUGAUCCAGCAACGCCGCGUGAGGGAUGAAGUAUUUCGGUAUGUAAACCUCGAAAGAAUAGGAAGAAUAAAUGACGGUACUAUUUAUAAGCUCCGGCUAACUACGUGCCAGCAGCCGCGGUAAUACGUAGGGAGCAAGCGUUGUUCGGAUUUACUGGGCGUAAAGGGCGCGUAGGCGGCAUAUUAAGUCAGCUGUGAAAUCUCCGAGCUUAACUCGGAACUGUCAGCUGAUACUGAUGUGCUAGAGUGCAGAAGGGGCAAUCGGAAUUCUUGGUGUAGCGGUGAAAUGCGUAGAUAUCAAGAGGAACACCUGAGGUGAAGACGGGUUGCUGGGCUGACACUGACGCUGAGGCGCGAAAGCCAGGGGAGCAAACGGGAUUAGAUACCCCGGUAGUCCUGGCCCUAAACGAUGAAUACUUGGUGUCUGGAGUUUCAAUACUCCGGGUGCCGUCGCUAACGUUUUAAGUAUUCCGCCUGGGGAGUACGCACGCAAGUGUGAAACUCAAAGGAAUUGACGGGGACCCGCACAAGCGGUGGAGCAUGUGGUUUAAUUCGACGCAACGCGAAGAACCUUACCUAGGCUAGAAUGUGAGGGAAUUCUGGGUAAUGCCAGAAGUCCGGGAAACCGGACCCAAAACAAGGUGCUGCAUGGCUGUCGUCAGCUCGUGUCGUGAGAUGUUGGGUUAAGUCCCGCAACGAGCGCAACCCUUAUCAACAGUUGCCAUCAUUAAGUUGGGAACUCUGUUGAGACUGCCGUUGAUAAAACGGAGGAAGGUGGGGAUGACGUCAAGUCAGCAUGGCCUUUAUGUCCAGGGCCACACACGUGCUACAAUGGCGGAUACAAAGCGUCGCAAUCUCGCAAGGGUGAGCUAAUCGCAUAAAGUCCGUCUCAGUUCGGAUUGUCGGCUGCAACUCGCCGGCAUGAAGUUGGAAUCGCUAGUAAUCGC
rnacentral:rRNA from 1 species